AGUGAACGCUGGCGGUAGGCCUAACACAUGCAAGUCGAACGGCAGCACAGUAAGAGCUUGCUCUUACGGGUGGCGAGUGGCGGACGGGUGAGGAAUACAUCGGAAUCUACUUUUUCGGGGGGGAUAACGUAGGGAAACUUCCGCUAAUACCGCAUACGACCUACGGCUGAAAGCAGGGGAUCUUCGGACCUUUCGUGAUUGAAUGAGCCGAUGUCGGAUUAGCUAGUUGGCGGGGUAAAGGCCCACCAAGGCGACGAUCCGUAGCUGGUCUGAGGAUGAUCAGCCACACUGGAACUGAGACACGGUCCAGACUCCUACGGGAGGCAGCAGUGGGGAAUAUUGGACAAUGGGCGCAAGCCUGAUCCAGCCAUACCGCGUGGGUGAAGAAGGCCUUCGGGUUGUAAAGCCCUUUUGUUGGGAAAGAAAAGCAGCAGGUUAAUACCCCGCUGUUCUGACGGUACCCAAAGAAUAAGCACCGGCUAACUUCGUG
rnacentral:rRNA from 1 species